CUGUUCGUGUUUGUUGUUUCUUUUCAGAGUGGCCGUGCUGUGUGUUCCUAAGUCUGCUUACUGUUUAAAUUCAAACCACCUCAGAGGAUUGAUGGCCAUGAAAAUUCGACAUUUGAAUGUAAUGGGCUUCCAUGUCAUCUUGAUCCAUAACUGGGAGCUGAAGAAACUAAAGAUGGAGGAUGCGGUCACAUUUGUGAGGAAGAAGAUCUAUUCAGAUGAAGCACUUGCCACUACUGACGAAAGCGUGUAAAGCUCGUAUUAAAUCAGACACUUGUCCGAACAUGCACAGUUGUGAAAUGACUUUAAUAAAGUCUGUGAUUCAGUC
rnacentral:lncRNA from 1 species